GACAUUUUUUUAAAAUGUUGUCAGCUGAUCAAAUAUUUUUGUUUCUGGUUUUCGCUCUUUUCGUGUUUACCACAUGUGUCGAAAUUAAUAAAGAUCUUCUAAGGUGUGGAGACUGUACUGCUGCUAAUGUGAAUAAUUGCAUUAUUGAAAAUGAUACGGGAUACUAUGUUUACCCAGAAAGUGCUGACGCAUCUUUUACUCGGACAAAACAAAGCGAUAUUCCUCGGGGAACAACUAACUUCAGCGUGUGCAUUCCCAAAAAUAUGAAAAUUGAGGCUUAUGAUGGAGGUUUUGAUUAUAUAUGUGUUUGGUCACCAGAACUUGGUUGUCAAAUUUUAUAUCCUAAGUACAAUAGAAAACCAGAUUGUUUGACGUGCCGAAUGAGGGAUGCUACUGGAGAACCGAGCUGUAUGUGUACGGUUCCAAAAAGAGAAUAUAUUAGUGAGGAAAAUUCGAAAUCGGGAUCAAGGAAACUCUACACCGGCUUACUGCAUAUUAUGAUUAAUGCAUAUUUUGUGCAGCAGGCAACAUAUUUAUGGGACUAAAGCAUGAGGACUAAAAUAUGAAUUCUAAAAAAAAUUGCCUUCAACCUACUGCAGACAUCCGCAAAAACUUUCCAAAUUCACAAGGCAAAUACAAUAAUAAAACAGUGUUUUUUCCGAAUUACUCAAUUUACAAGUAAAAGCAGCAACGCUAAUUUGUCAGAGAUUGAAUGGUCCGAUUGACCCUUUGCAAUGGUCAAGGAACAAGAAUUGUUAAUACGAUUCAUGAUAUAAAUUGUAUUAUUUCCAUGGCUUGAAACUUUUUUGCGGGGCCUCAUUGCUGUUCCUGUUGGAGUCUGGUUCUGGUUUUGGCCUGGCCAAAAUUUUUUGAAUAAUUAGGAAAAAUAGACUCUUUUAAAGAACUUGUAAUGUGUGAAGACUGUACUGAGUACAAUAAGGGCAUAUGCAUAAUUAAAAGUGAUGUGGACCAUAUUGUGAUUCAAAAAGAUUCUUUGAGAUCGAUGGCUGUUUCUGAUCUUACCCGGGUAACCGCGGACUUGGACGUGUGCAUUCCUAGCAAUAUGACAAUUGACGCACAAGAUGGGGAAUUCAAGUAUAUAUGUGUUUGGUCUCCCGAACUUGGCUGUCAAAUGUUAAUACCUAAAAACAAUAAGGACGAUGAUAUUGGGUGUGGUGCAUGCCAAGUGGACGAAUUUGUGAAAACAGGAUGUCCGUGUGAGGAUCCCGCCUCAGAUUCUGGCAAAUCCAAGAGGAAUUCGGGAUCAAGGCAACUUUACACCCGAUCUCUGCGUAUUAUGAUUGCUGCUUAUUUUAUGCAGCAGGCUAUGGCCCUAAGGCUAUGUGGGCUUUAGACAUGAGUUCAA